GUCUACAUCCAUGCCACCCUGAAAGCGUCCGAUCCCAUCUGAUCUCGGAAGCUAAGCAAGGUCCAGCCUGGUUAGUACUUAGAUGGGAGACCACCUGGGAAUACCAGGUACCGUAGGCU
rnacentral:rRNA from 1 species